rnacentral:rRNA from 1 species
UGGGGAAUCUUGCACAAUGGGGGCAACCCUGAUGCAGCGACGCCGCGUGAGCGAUGAAGCCCUUCGGGGCGUAAAGCUCUUUCGACCGGAACGAUAAUGACGGUACCGGGAGAAGAAGCUGCGGCUAACUACGUGCCAGCAGCCGCGGCAAUACGUAGGCAGCAAGCGUUGUUCGGAGUUACUGGGCGUAAAGAGUGCGUAGGCGGUUUUCUAAGUUCGGUGUGAAAUCUCCCGGCUUAACUGGGAGGGUGCGCCGAAGACUGGGAAGCUGGAGUGUGGGAAAGGCAGGCGGAAUUCCUGGUGUAGCGGUGAAAGGCGUAGAUAUCAGGAGGAACACCGGCGGUGUAGACGGCUUGCUAGACCAUAACUGACGCUGAGGCACGAAAGCGUGGGUAGCAAACA